AUUGAACGCUGGCGGCAGGCCUAACACAUGCAAGUCGAGCGAGCGGCGGACGGGUGAGUAAUGUCUGGGAAACUGCCUGAUGGAGGGGGAUAACUACUGGAAACGGUAGCUAAUACCGCAUACCAUCAGAUGUGCCCAGAGGGGAUUAGCGAGUAGGUGGGGUAAUGGCGCACCUAGGCACCGAUCCCUAGCUGGUCUGAGAGGAUGAGCAGCCACACUGGAACUGAGACACGGUCCAGACUCCUACGGGAGUCAGCAGUGGGGAAUAUGGAACAAGGGGCGCAAGCCUGAUGCAGACAUGCCGCGUGUGUGAAGAAGGCCUUAGGGUUGUAAAGCACUUUCAGCGAGGAGGCGUUACUCGCAGAAGAAGCACCGGCUAACUCCGUGCCAGCAGCCGCGGUAAUAC
rnacentral:rRNA from 1 species